UACGGGGGGAGCAAGCGUUGUUCGGAUUUACUGGGCGUAAAGGGCGCGUAGGCGGCGCAACAAGUCACUUGUGAAAUCUCCGGGCUUAACCCGGAGCGGUCAAGUGAUACUGUCGUGCUAGAGUGCGGAAGGGGCUACUGGAAUUCUCGGUGUAGCGGUGAAAUGCGUAGAUAUCGAGAGGAACACCUGCGGCGAAGGCGCUCAUCUGGCCCAAUACUGACGCUGAGGCGCGAAAGCUAGGGGAGCAAACGGG
rnacentral:rRNA from 1 species